UAUUCUAAAAGAUUAUUGUAUCCCGGGAUAAUAGUGCUAAUCAACUUUACGGGGAAGAAGAGGACAGAGAGUGCUAACCAACUUUGUGGAGAGGACGUACUUUCUCUUAAGAAAAUCCAAAUGCUACGCCAUUCACUGCACUCUGGGCCUAGAGGAUUUUUCAAUGGUCACAACCCAACUGUCUAUCCCUAUAUUUCUGUCAUUGAUGGCUUUGCUUCAUCAGGAAGCCAUCUUUGUGGCAUUCGGCUGUAUUCCAAAAUGCUCCAUGAGUCAAUUCUGCCUGAUAAUUACUUAAUGGCCUCCAUUUUGAAAGCACGUGGAUCCACAGACGGGCUAUGAAGCUGGGCUCCAGCUCAAACGUUUUGUGAAGUUGAGGAUGGAGUUAUACGGAAAAUGAGGGGAAUCGGGGGAUGCACGUCGGAUGUUUGAUGAAAUGCCUGAAGACGUUAUCGCGUUCACCGUGAUGAUCUGCUCUUAUAGUGAUCAGGGACUGGUUGAGGAAGCUGGUGCUGUUUUUAGUCGGGUCAGAUAUGGUUUUUUGGACAGCAAUAAUUGAUGGGUAUAUGAGACAUGGAGAUAUGAAUAGAGUUUUGGAGGAGUUUAGUGGAAUAUAUAUAUAUUUGAAAGACACAAAACAACUGAAAAAUUACAUCAUCAUCAGAUCUGGCCAUCAUCACCAUGGCAUAAGGUCCUCCUUGAGCCCAGACCAAAGCAAUCUACAGAUACUCCUUGUAUAUACGCUCAGGCACCUUACGAAAUGUAGCCUUCAGAAGAUCAAUAAAUAAUGGAAAGUGCUUGAGAACAAAGUACGCCAUUAUCAGGCCGGUGAGUGCAUAUACCAGAAUUGCAGCAUAUUUUAGUUGGCCCUUAAGCAUCAAGAAGUUUCCCGAGCAGAAACAGGUCAACAUGGCUGCCAUGGAUAUAAAGAGAGAUGUUAAACCAAAUAAAAAAUUCCUUGGCAAGUUCGUAGUAAAAUCUUUGUCUUGGUGCUUGGAGAUGAAAAUGGCGAGGAAUAUGAACAAGGAGAUCACUGAACAGCAAAGAGCAACUAGCGAUGCCAUUGCAAAAAUACUGAAAGCCAGAUGGUUUUCAAAAACUGGUUCCCCAGUGUCUUGCUUUACCCCUCCAGGUAUAGAGGCUGAUGAGGCAAAGGCAACAGUUGCGAUAAGUGCUGCAAUGAAAGAGCAGGAAUUGGAGGUGCUAUUUAGCCAUUGUUUGCUUUCGUCUUCAAGUUUUUGAUGUUGUAUUUGGAAGAUCUCAUCUGGGGUACGUCUGUCCCUAUUUUUUUGAACAACAAAAUGUGGUGGCAAGGAAUUCUGCACAUACUGCAAUGAACCAAGUGCAUACUUUUAAGUUAUUAUUCAUCCGUUUGAGUAAUUUCUCAUAAGCUAAUUUAAAUCUUAGCUUGAGUUUUGCAAA